rnacentral:tRNA from 1 species
GGGCCUGUAGCUCAGCCGGUUAGAGCAGAGGACUCAUAAUCCUUUGGUCCAGGGUUCGAAUCCCUGCGGGCCCACCA